UUGCUGGACUUCAUUUGUUAAGCUCCUUUGCUGUCUUACAAUGAAAGGUCCUGAUGUCAUGACUGUUCUUGAGAAACAUGCUUACGUUCUUGCUCUUUCUUACCCCAUUGUUCCUACUAUUUUAGCUUAAAGGCCUGAUGGACAUCGUGUAUUUCAGGAAAGAGGAGUCUCUCUGGCUCAUGUGCCAUGAGGACUUUGGGGUUCACAGCUGCAUGGAUCUUAUGGCCUCACUAUUCAUCACACCUUUGUCCAUUGUGAUUCUCAGAAAUAUAUCCACGACAGCCAGGAGGCCCUCCUUCUUAAAAUGAAGCAUUUCCCUUCAGUCACUAACCAAGAGGACAGAAUAGUGACUCAUGGUGUUCGGGUUUCAAAGGCACAGAAGCCAAAGAUGUUUUUCUUCACUUACAAUGGAGCCUGGGGAGAAUACAACAGUGAGCAAAACAGAGAAGAAUCCCCGCAUACGUGAAGCAUCUGGAGACAACAGAGACAAUGUACAAGUAAACACGUAAAAUAAACAAGUAUGACAGCC